AGUUGUUGCAGUUAAAAGCUCGUAGUCGAACGUAUGGUGUGUGUGCGUGUCCGUCGGUGGGUGAAUGCUUGCCGAACAGUGACACGUGCGCUGCCAGUCUAAUAGGUCUUGUGACUUGCUUCUUUCACUGUAAAAAAAUUAGGGUGUUUCAAGCAAAGGUUGAUAUUGGAAUAUGAUAGUAUGGGAUGAUGAGAUAGGCCGUUGGCGGUAUUUUGUUGGUUUGCGCGUUGGCGGAAUGAUGAAGAGGGACAGUUGGGGGUAUUCGAAUUCUAGUGUCAGAGGUGAAAUUCUUGGAUUACUAGAAGGCGAACGACUGCGAAAGCAUUUACCAAGGAUGUUUUCAUUGAUCAAGAACGAAAGUAUGGGGAUCGAAGAUGAUUAGAUACCAUCGUAGUCCAUACCGUAAACGAUGCCGACUCGCGAUCGUUUCCCGGCUCUUGAA
rnacentral:rRNA from 1 species